rnacentral:rRNA from 1 species
AUACGUAGGGUGCGAGCGUUGUCCGGAAUUACUGGGCGUAAAGAGCUCGUAGGUGGUUUGUCGCGUCGUCUGUGAAAUUCCGGGGCUUAACUCCGGGCGUGCAGGCGAUACGGGCAUAACUUGAGUACUGUAGGGGAGACUGGAAUUCCUGGUGUAGCGGUGAAAUGCGCAGAUAUAAGGAGGAACACCGGUGGCGAAGGCGGGUCACUGGGUAGUAACUGACGCUGAGUAGCGAAAGCAUGGGUAGCGAACAGGAUUAGAUACCCUGGUAGUCCAUGCCGUAAACGGUGGGCGCUAGGUGUAGGGGUCUUCCACGACUUCUGUGCCGUAGCUAACGCAUUAAGCGCCCCGCCUGGGGAGUACGGCCGCAAGGCUAAAACUCAAAGGAAUUGACGGGG